UACGAAGGGGGCUAGCGUUGUUCGGAAUUACUGGGCGUAAAGCGCGCGCAGGCGGUUCUUCAAGUCAGAGGGUGAAACGCCCAGAGCUCAACUCUGGAAUGGCCUUUGAGACUAGAGAACUAGGGUACGGGGAGAGGUGAGUGGAAUUCCGAGUGUAGAGGUGGAAUUCGUAGAUAUUCGGAAGAACACCAGUGGCGAAGGCGGCUCACGGUGCCCGUUACCGACGCUCAGGCGCGACAGCGUGGGGAGCAACAGGG
rnacentral:rRNA from 1 species